rnacentral:lncRNA from 1 species
GGGCGCGGGUGGCCCCUCGGGAAGGGCCCGAAGCGGAGCGAGGGGCUGCGGCUGCCCGGCCCAGCUGUCGGGUGUGGCGGAGAGAGCUCCCAAGGGCGGGUUACCUCACUGUACCCUGCACCAAAGGAGGAGUGGCCAGCGGGGUGAAGGAAGUGAAAGUCCCUCUUUGCUCUGCCCUCGUGAGACUCCAUCUGGAGUACUGUGUCCAGGCUUGGGGUCCCCAGCAUAGGAGGGUUGUGGAGCUGUUGGAGUGGGUUCAGAGGUCAGCACGAAGAUGCUCAGAGGGCUGAGCACUUCUCCUGUGAAGACAGGCUGAGGGAGCUGGGCUUGUGCAGCCUGGAGAAGUGAAGGCUUCAGGGAGACCAGUGGCCUUGCUGUGCUUAGAAAUUUAUAAGCAGAAGGGAGACAAAUUUCUUACAUGGUCUUAUAGUGAUAAGGACAAGCAGGAAUGGCUUUAAACUAAAAGAGGGGAGAUUUAGGUGGAAUUUGGUGGAGAUUUAGGAGGAAACUUUUUACUCAGAGGGCGGUGAGGCGCUGGCACAGCUGCCCAGAGAAGCUGUGGUGCCCCAUCCCUGGAGGCACUCAGGGCCAGGUUGGAUGGGGCCCUGGGCAGCUGAGCUGGUGGGUUGGAACCAGAUGACUUUUGAAGUCUCUUCUAAUGCAAACCGUUCUAUGUUUCUAUGAUUCUAUGAAAAGUUUAUUGUUUGAAGAGAUGCUUUGCCUUUUGUAAAACAGUGUGUGUGUGAUCUGAAAUAACAGCUUAUGCUGGUUCAGCAAGUGUUGGAAAGGACAUGUGAAGCAAUAGGGAAGCCUGUAAAAGUCACAGCUGUGAGGAACUUUCCCAUGUGAUGGAGAUUUAGGGGUUGGGCUCUGCACAAGAGAAUGCUUUUAGCUGCAUUUUAGGUGAGCCACAAGCUUGACUGGGGGUCUCUUGCUGCAUGGCAGUUUUGUUCUUUUAUAGUGACCAGUGUGAGUCUUUUGCUGCAGGUGAACAAGUCCUGACAGCUUUAGUGGUUAACCAGAUUAGCAUGGGGAGAUACAGCCGGCUCCACUGCUGCUGUGCAAGAUUUCUCCUGGUGCAACAAAAACCUUCUGAAGUUGAAAAGCUACGAAUUCUUCCAGCUGUGCUGAAACACUGUCCAAAAUGAGAGACAAUGAGAAGUGACAUCCCAAAGUAACAGACUGUGAACAUUAACAUUUAGAUGAAGCAUAGCGUUUCUCUGUGCACCUUGCCAGCAUCUACCUCGGCUGAAGCCUCAAGUCAUUUGAAGACACCCUCUUUCACCUUUAUAAGAGAGGGGAAAUAUAACAAAUGGAUAGAGUGUUUGAAAAGCCUCAAUGGAAGAUUUCUUCAAAGAAAAAAAAAGAGGGAAGAAAUCAGCAGCUAACAAACAGAAGGUGUGAAUGAAGAAGCCUCUUUUUUGUUAAGACAACCAUGAUGUGCAGAGAAGAGUGGGAGAGCACAGGAAGGUGAUUUCCAACAGCCAAUCAUUUCAAUCAACACCUAUUGACUAUUACAACAUAUCAGUACUUAUCCCCAGCUGGGAAGUUCUUCAUUAUCAUUCCUCUUCAGUCCAUUUGCUUAUAUGGACCUUGAGACCCCAAAACAUGUAUAAGUUCCUACCUUUUCUUAAAAAAAAAAAAUCCACAACACUUUGUCAUCCACUUUUUAAUUCUCAUUUUAUCCAGGGGAGAUCUCAAUCCACAAGCUGUACAUAGCUCUUCACAUCACUGUUUCUUAGUGGCUUGGAAGAACUGCUGCCUUGAUGCUGAGAUUAGCAACAGUGCCAGUCACAGGACAGCCCUUGGGCUUGACAUGAUGUUUGAGCUGGGAUAUAUACAAGUAGGUUGAAACUUUUCCUCUUCUGCCUCAUUCUGCAAAAAGAGAGCCACCAAUGUGCUUUGCUCCUCUGCUAUGGGCUUCUACAGGAAAACCUCAGCAAGAUUUUGUCCACGUGUGAAAUGCAGCAUCAGAUCUCAGCUUUCUUAAGGGAUGUGUUACAUUGUAAAAAAAAAAACCCAAAAGCAAACAACAUACAGAGGCAUGGGUGGUACUUGUUGUAGUGUUUCACAACUCGGACAAAACUGUCUGAUGAAAAGCUAUACAGAAGUGUGUCCAGCAACCCUGACUUAUGGUUAGCAGAAUAGGUACAACGUGCUCUAGUUUCUGGAAAUCAUGCUAGCUUUA